rnacentral:rRNA from 15 species
CUUCGAGUUAGCGGCGGACGGGUGAGUAAUGCUUAGGAAUCUGCCUAUUAGUGGGGGACAACAUUCCGAAAGGAAUGCUAAUACCGCAUACGCCCUACGGGGGAAAGCAGGCUUCGGCUUGCGCUAUCGGAUGAGCCCAAGUCGGAUUAGCUAGUUGGUAGGGUAAAGGCCUACCAAGGCA